rnacentral:rRNA from 1 species
AUUGAACGCUGGCGGCAGGCCUAACACAUGCAAGUCGAGCGGAUGAAGGGAGCUUGCUCCUGGAUUCAGCGGCGGACGGGUGAGUAAUGCCUAGGAAUCUGCCUGGUAGUGGGGGAUAACGUCCGGAAACGGGCGCUAAUACCGCAUACGUCCUGAGGGAGAAAGUGGGGGAUCUUCGGACCUCACGCUAUCAGAUGAGCCUAGGUCGGAUUAGCUAGUUGGUGGGGUAAAGGCCUACCAAGGCGACGAUCCGUAACUGGUCUGAGAGGAUGAUCAGUCACACUAGAACUGAGACACGGUCCAGACUCCUACGGGAGGCAGCAGUGGGGAAUAUUGGACAAUGGGCGAAAGCCUGAUCCAGCCAUGCCGCGUGUGUGAAGAAGGUCUUCGGAUUGUAAAGCACUUUAAGUUGGGAGGAAGGGCAGUAAGUUAAUACCUUGCUGUUUUGACGGUACCAACAGAAUAAGCACCGGCUAACUUCGUG